rnacentral:rRNA from 1 species
GAUGAACGCUGGUGGCGUGCUUAACACAUGCAAGUCGAACGGGAAACCUUUUAUUGAAGCUUCGGCAGAUUUAGCUAGUUUCUAGUGGCGGACGGGUGAGUAACGCGUGGGUAACCUGCCUUAUACAGGGGGAUAACAACCAGAAAUGGUUGCUAAUACCGCAUAAGCGCACAGGACCGCAUGGUCCGGUGUGAAAAACUCCGGUGGUAUAAGAUGGACCCGCGUUGGAUUAGCUAGUUGGCAGGGUAACGGCCUACCAAGGCGACGAUCCAUAGCCGGCCGGAGAGCGUGAACGGCCACAUUUGGACUGAGGCACGGCCCAGACUCCUACGGGAGGCAGCAGUGGGGAAUAUUGCACAAUGGGGGAAACCCUGAUGCAGCGACGCCGCGUGAAGGAAGAAGUAUCUCGGUAUGUAAACUUCUAUCAGCAGGGAAGAUAGUGACGGUACCUGACGAAGAAGCCCCGGCUAACUACGUG